GAUGAACGCUGGCGGCGUGCCUAAUACAUGCAAGUCGAGCGAACAGACGAGGAGCUUGCUCCUCUGACGUUAGCGGCGAACGGGUGAGUAACACGUGGAUAACCUACCUAUAAGACUGGGAUAACUUCGGGAAACCGGAGCUAAUACCGGAUAACAUGUUGAACCGCAUGGUUCAACAGUGAAAGACGGUUUUGCUGUCACUUAUAGAUGGAUCCGCGUCGCAUUAGCUAGUUGGUAAGGUAACGGCUUACCAAGGCAACGAUGCGUAGCCGACCUGAGAGGGUGAUCGGCCACACUGGAACUGAGACACGGUCCAGACUCCUACGGGAGGCAGCAGUAGGGAAUCUUCCGCAAUGGGCGAAAGCCUGACGGAGCAACGCCGCGUGAGUGAAGAAGGUCUUCGGAUCGUAAAACUCUGUUAUUAGGGAAGAACAAAUGUGUAAGUAACUAUGCACGUCUUGACGGUACCUAAUCAGAAAGCCACGGCUAACUACGUG
rnacentral:rRNA from 1 species